rnacentral:pre_miRNA from 1 species
UGACUACAAAAUAACUUAUUUUUUAGCCACUUUGAGUUACGAUAAUUGCUAUAUUAAUUUACAAUAUUAUAGUAACUCCUUGUUAAGUGGUUUAAACCCAACUAUCGUAAAUAUGUAUACAUAUUAUCGUAACUUAGUAUAUAAAAUUAUCGUAAAUGGAGGUGACUAUAGAAUAACAUAUUUUGUAGCUA